rnacentral:lncRNA from 1 species
ACCAGCUAGGUUUUCCUACACUGGCCAGGUUCUCCUACACCAGCUAGGUUCUCCUACACCAUCUAGGUUCUCCUACAUCAGCUAGGUUCUCCUACACCAGCUAGGUUCUCCUACAUCAGCUAGGUUCUCCUACACCGGCUAGGUUCUCCUACACAGGCUAGGUUCUCCUACACCAGCUAGGUCCUCCUACACUGGCUAGGUCCUCCUACACCGGCUAGGUUCUCCUACAUCAGCUAGGUUCUCCUACACCGGCUAGGUCCUCCUACACCGGCUAGGUCCUCCUACACCGGCUAGGUUCUCCUACACCGGCUAGGCCCUCCUACACCGGCUAGGUCCUCCUACACCGGCUAGGUUCUCCUACACCGGCUAGGUUCUCCUACACCGGCUAGGUUCUCCUACACCGGCUAGGUUCUCCUACACUGGCUAGGUCCUCCUACACCAGCUAGGUACUCCUACACCAGCUAGGUCCUCCUACACCGGCUAGGUCCUACUACACCAGCUAGGUCCUCCUACACCAGCUAGGUUCUCCUACACUGGCUAGGUUCUCCUACACCGGUUAGGAUAUCAUAUUUUGAAUACAACAUCAAAAGACAGAAAACAACAUUGUCUAUUUCAUACUCAUGCUUAAUAUUAAAUCCAUGAACUGAAGUGAGUAUUUUCUUAAGGAAUUCAGAAUGAAAUCCCAUAUUAACACGUCAUUUAUAAUAUACACAUAUAUUUAGUGAGGUAUUUGUAGUGACACAGAAGUUUGUAUAUUGAGUGGUAAGUGCAGUGGAACUGUUGCCGCGAACACCUGAUAGACAAAGGUGGAGAUGGUAUGUUAGACUGAGACAGAAUACAUAUAGAAGAAACAAGCUGGUAGUUACU